rfam:Medicago truncatula strain A17 unplaced genomic scaffold scaffold0113, whole genome shotgun sequence.
AUGUACUGUAGCAUGGCCGUUUGGUGAAUUACUCUGAUGAAUAUUUUAUUAUUUAAGUACUUUUGGGUAACGGGGUGUUACAAUUGU